CCAGACAGUCACAUGGCAUGAGUUCCACCUAUCAGAGGCAUCACUGUGGGAUUGUGGGAUUGCUCAGGAUUGUGGGUAAUGAAGUACUUAUCCGAGACAUCGCGAAUAAAAGACAUUUAUCUAAAAAAUUGUUGGUACCCCAUGAACUUU